AGUUUCAUGCAAGUUUUUAAUCCUUACUCCCUUAUGAAGGCAUCACAAUAUUGGGAUUAUCAUUUCAAACGUUUUUGGAAUGCUUCUAAAGAAAAGUUCAAUAUGAUGGUGAUAACGGAGAGACCUAUAAUGAAGAUAAUAUUAUUUUUAAGUUUAGAUUAUAACCGAGUAAUCUGGUGGUGAGAUGGAGUGAGGAGGGAUGGUUUAAGUGAG